rnacentral:siRNA from 1 species
UGAUAAGAAAAUGUCAAACGGUGA